rnacentral:rRNA from 1 species
GUCGAACGGUAACAGGAAGCAGCUUGCUGCUUCGCUGACGAGUGGCGGACGGGUGAGUAAUGUCUGGGAAACUGCCUGAUGGAGGGGGAUAACUACUGGAAACGGUAGCUAAUACCGCAUAACGUCGCAAGACCAAAGAGGGGGACCUUCGGGCCUCUUGCCAUCGGAUGUGCCCAGAUGGGAUUAGCUAGUACGCGGGGUAACGGCUCACCUAGGCGACGAUCCCUAGCUGGUCUGAGAGGAUGACCAGCCACACUGGAGCUGAGACACGGUCCAGACUCCUACGGGAGGCAGCAGUGGGGAAUAUUGCACAAUGGGCGCAAGCCUGAUGCAGCCAUGCCGCGUGUAUGAAGAAGGCCUUCGGGUUGUAAAGUACUUUCAGCGGGGAGGAAGGCGACAGGGUUAAUAACCCUGUCGAUUGACGUUACCCGCAGAAGAAGCACCGGCUAACUCCGUGCCAGCAGCCGCGGUAAUACGGAGGGUGCAAGCGUUAAUCGGAAUUACUGGGCGUAAAGCGCACGCAGGCGGUCUGUCAAGUCGGAUGUGAAAUCCCCGGGCUCAACCUGGGAACUGCAUUCGAAACUGGCAGGCUAGAGUCCUGUAGAGGGGGGUAGAAUUCCAGGUGUAGCGGUGAAAUGCGUAGAGAUCUGGAGGAAUACCGGUGGCGAAGGCGG